CAUAUCAAUAAGCGGAGGAAAAGAAACCAACAGGGAUUGCCCUAGUAACGGCGAGUGAAGCGGCAACAGCUCAAAUUUGAAAUCUGGCGCAAGCCCGAGUUGUAAUUUGUAGAGGAUGCUUCUGGGUAGCGACCGAUCUAAGUUCCUUGGAACAGGACGUCAUAGAGGGUGAGAAUCCCGUAUGUGACCGGCCCGCACCCUUUACGUAGCUCCUUCGACGAGUCGAGUUGUUUGGGAAUGCAGCUCUAAAUGGGAGGUAAAUUUCUUCUAAAGCUAAAUACCGGCCAGAGACCGAUAGCGCACAAGUAGAGUGAUCGAAAGAUGAAAAGUACUUUGGAAAGAGAGUUAAAAAGCACGUGAAAUUGUUGAAAGGGAAGCGCCUGCAACCAGACUUCGCGGCAGUGUUCCGCCGGUCUUCUGACCGGUUCAUUCUCUGUCGCGAGGCCAUCAUCGCCUGGGCCCGCCGGAUAAGACCUUAGGAAUGUAGCUCACCUUCGGGGGAGUGUUAUAGCCUAGGGUGAUGCGGCGAGGCUCGGGCGAGGUCCGCGCUUCGGCAAGGAUGAUGGCGUAAUGGUUGUCGGCGGCCCGUCUUGAAACACGGACCAAGGAGUCUAACAUCUAUGCGAGUGUUCGGGUGUCAAACCCCUACGCGUAAUGAAAGUGAACGGAGGUGGGAACCGCAAGGUGCACCAUCGACCGAUCCUGAUGUCCUCGGAUGGAUUUGAGUAAGAGCAUAGCUGUUGGGACCCGAAAGAUGGUGAACUAUGCCUGAAUAGGGUGAAGCCAGAGGAAACUCUGGUGGAGGCUCGCAGCGGUUCUGACGUGCAAAUCGAUCGUCAAAUUUGGGUAUAGGGGCGAAAGACUAAUCGAACCAUCUAGUAGCUGGUUCCUGCCG
rnacentral:rRNA from 1 species